AGAUUGAACGCUAGCGGGAUGCUUUACACAUGCAAGUCGAACGGCAGCGCGGACUUCGGUCUGGCGGCGAGUGGCGAACGGGUGAGUAAUAUAUCGGAACGUGCCCAGUAGCGGGGGAUAACUACGCGAAAGCGUGGCUAAUACCGCAUACGCCCUACGGGGGAAAGGGGGGGAUUCUUCGGAACCCUCUCACUAGUUGGAGCCGGCCUAUAUCAGAUUAGCUAGUUGGUGAGGUAAGCUCACAGGCGACGAUCUAGAGCUUGGUUGAGAGACCGACCAGCCACACGUGGGACUGACGACACCGGCCCAGACUCCGACGGGAGCAGCAGGUAGGGUAAUUUCGGACGUAAGUACGGGGGAAACCCUGACUCCGAGCCACUCCCGCGUGUCGACGA
rnacentral:rRNA from 1 species